rnacentral:tRNA from 1 species
GAGGGUAUAGCUCAGUGGUAGAGUGUGUGCUUAGCAUGCUCCAGGUCCUGGGUUCAUCCCCAGCACCUCCA